UAGUAAAACGUUGUUUCGAUCCACGGAAAUCUGGGUUAUGGGCCCAGCACGCUUCCACUGCGCCACUCUGCU
rnacentral:tRNA from 1 species